rnacentral:rRNA from 1 species
GACGUAGGGCGCGAGCGUUGUCCGGAUUUAUUGGGCGUAAAGAGCUCGUAGGCGGCUUGUCGCGUCGUCCGUGAAAACCUGCGGCUCAACUGCAGGCUGGCGGUCGAUACGGGCAGGCUGGAGUUCGGUAGGGGAGACUGGAAUUCCUGGUGUAGCGGUGAAAUGCGCAGAUAUCAGGAGGAACACCCGGUGGCGGAAGGCGG